CGUUGUCUAUCCAAGUGUAACUUGCACCAAUCUUUUCACAGUUAGUGAUCCCUACCGUUUUGAGGUUCCGCCUCAUAGAGUUUGUUUUGAAAUAGCCUUGCGCUGUACUUAGCAACGAAGCUCUGUUAAAGAAAAGAAGACAAAGACGAAGCAGCAGCGAAGAAACUCUAUCUAUUAGACCAAAGAAGAAGCGACGAAACGAAUUGUUUAUUUCUGAUAAUAUAACAAACUUGCAACAAGAAUAUCAGCUGACAAUUGGAUAUUAAUGAAAAAAAAAGGACAUCCCAAAGCAGCCUACUAGUUCAGUAGACUCUGGAAUUUACAUGUUGAUGUAUGCACUUUAUCUAUCUGACCAUGGAGGAACCCUUUGAUUUUACUGCUGAUGACAUGCCUGCCAUUAGAAAGUGGUGAUGUUUGGUUGUUCUGGAGAACAGCUCAUAUGGGUGGUAAAUAUUCAGUGUUUCCUUUUUGUUUUGUUAACAAUUUAUCCCAUAAUUUUAUGUGGUCAUCUCCUAUGGUCUGGUUUAGUGGGUGCCAAAUGACCUGUGCCUUCUUAGAAUAAUUUGCAGAUAUUGGUACUUGUUCUGAGUGUACCAUUGCUGAGUGCCGGUGUGGGUACCCUGCUUUUGGAGAUGCUCCUUUUUGGGAUGCGUGGACAAUCAAAGGUGACACCUCACAUCCAACAUGGGGAAAACAGUUUAAAUAAGAUUGGAAUUUUACAAUUUUUAAUGUCUAAAUAAGUUCAUAUAGUGUUACUUUAAAUACACCAGUGUGUGUUUUGGUGUAUACAGGAAAACAUUUACUGGCACUCUUUUUUCUGUUAAAUGAAUAACAUCAAUAUUUUAAUGUCUAAAAGUAAGGACCGAGAAGAUCAUGGCAGCCGUGAACUCGUUGAGGAAUAUACUGAUACAGCCACACCAAGUGUAGGAGAGCAGGCUGGCUGUGUGGCUGCAGUAGGGCAGCUGACUGAAGAAGAAGUGGCUCAGGUUUUUGCAUCUGCAGAGAUCAGCAGGGCCUACAGGAGGACUCAACAUGAAAAACUGUUAAGAGUUCAUACUAAAGGACCAUGGAGCAGAUGAUCACUUACUGGCUGUUGUAUAUCGUAAGGUAUCGUCCAAAUGGUUAAAAAAUUAUGAAAAUCCUAAAGGUCACCGGGUAAUGACUUAUAUAGAAGAUGAGGAGCUGAUAGAUGGCCUCUGCAACUUCUUGGAUGAAGUGCUGUCACAAGCUGUAGGCACUUUUUAGAGGAUUGACAGAGUUCACAUCAUUCUGGAUGUGCUGAUGCCAGAGGCUCUUAUUAAAGUUAUACAGACAGUUGAGAGGAUUACUCUGCCAGAGGCAGAAAAUCUGUUCAUGGAUGGACCAGCAUACAGUGAGAGUGAGAGGGAAGAGUUUGACAUACUUGUUUUACAACAUUUGGAAGCACAAGGAAAGCACCACUGAGGCAUUUAAACUCUGGAUUACAUCUCAACCUGACUCAAAUAAAUGUGUCUCUUUCUUUACUUCUCUUUUGCCUUUUUUAUUUUUGUGUGUUACAAUGACUGAGCAUAAUAGAGUUGUAUAUAUUUAAUGUAACUAUUGAUGUAAAUAAUAAAUGACACUUUCUGUUAUUGUUAAAGAUUGUUAAUUAAGUUCUGUACAUUUGAAAUUGCUUGUCUGUUUUUAGACAAUUGAUGUCAUCUGGAUGUUUUCUUUAAUUGUUAUAACUGCUUUGUACAGUUUCUAUGCAUUUUACAUUGUUGUUUUAUUUAUAUAUAAUAUAUAGAAGCAGGCAUGCUGUUGUUUUAAUACUUCAGUAUAUUCCUUGAUAAGUCUGUUUGUUAAAUUUAAUCUUUGUGCAUUCUUUAUUUCAAUUCAACUGACCAAUCAUUGAUAAUUGUAAAUUUUUUUUAAAUUGUUG